GUCUACGACCAAACCACACUGAACACACCUGACCUCAUCUGAUCUCAGAAUCUAAGCAAGGUCAGGCCUGUUUAGUACUUGGAUGGGAAACA
rnacentral:rRNA from 1 species